GACGAACGCUGGCGGCGUGCCUAAUACAUGCAAGUAGAACGCUGAAGGAGGAGCUUGCUCUUCUGGAUGAGUUGCGAACGGGUGAGUAACGCGUAGGUAACCUGCCUGGUAGCGGGGGAUAACUAUUGGAAACGAUAGCUAAUACCGCAUAACAGUAGAUGUUGCAUGACAUUUGCUUAAAAGGUGCAAUUGCACCACUACCAGAUGGACCUGCGUUGUAUUAGCUAGUUGGUGGGGUAACGGCUCACCAAGGCGACGAUACAUAGCCGACCUGAGAGGGUGAUCGGCCACACUGGGACUGAGACACGGCCCAGACUCCUACGGGAGGCAGCAGUAGGGAAUCUUCGGCAAUGGACGGAAGUCUGACCGAGCAACGCCGCGUGAGUGAAGAAGGUUUUCGGAUCGUAAAGCUCUGUUGUAAGAGAAGAACGGGUGUGAGAGUGGAAAGUUCACACUGUGACGGUAUCUUACCAGAAAGGGACGGCUAACUACGUG
rnacentral:rRNA from 1 species